UACGUAGGGUGCGAGCGUUGUCCGGAAUUAUUGGGCGUAAAGGGCUCGUAGGCGGCUUGUCACGUCGGGUGUGAAAGCCCGGGGCUUAACCCCGGGUCUGCAUUCGAUACGGGCUGGCUAGAGUGUGGUAGGGGAGAUCGGAAUUCCUGGUGUAGCGGUGAAAUGCGCAGAUAUCAGGAAGAACACCCGUGGCGAAGGCGGCUCUCUGGAACGCAACUGACGCUGAGACGCGAAAGCGUGGGGAGCAAACAGG
rnacentral:rRNA from 1 species